ensembl:lncRNA
CUGUCUCUCUCUCCAUCUCUAUUUGUAUGCAGAGAUUUUGGUUUUUGCAACUACAUUUCUCUUUGUCCAUUAUCCUGUGUGCUGGAGUCGGAGCAGAUCCCUACCAGCUGCAACUCAUUCCAUUAUCAAGACCUCUACAAACUCAGUCCUGCCACUUCCACUCUGCCAAAUCUUUUUCCACUCUGGCUCCUGUCUCCUGUUCCACACCUCAUCACCCUGCUACCUUGUUCUGGACCCACCACUCCCUUGGAUUCCGAUCCAGACCUGUUUCCUCUGUCCAAACCCAGCUCACUCCAACCUCAGCCUCCACUUCUGGUUUCUUACAACUCAUCUGAGCUUCGCUGCAUCUGCACUUCAUCUCUCCCUGUGUGCAAAAAAUCUUGUUUCAUUCAUCCCUGUUUCCUGGUCUGAGUCUGCUCUUGGGUUCUGCUGCUCUGCCUGACAGUGACCCAGAUGGCCCCUUUCGCAAUGUUGAGCAUAUUGUCACUGUCUGAUAACCUGUUUGGGGUAGGGGGCAGCAUUUUCACUUUUGGAUAAAUAGUGUGCCCAAACUGAACUGCCUCCUACUCUGUCCCAG